rnacentral:rRNA from 1 species
GGCUCAGGAUGAACGCUAGCGGCAGGCCUAAUACAUGCAAGUCGAGCGGCAAGUUGAGAAGCAAUUCGAGACCUAGAGCGGCGUACGGGUGCGUAACGCGUAUGCAACCUACCUCAUACAGGGGGAUAGCCCGGAGAAAUCUGGAUUAAUACCCCAUGGUACAGCACGAGGGCAUCUGAGUGUUGUUAAAGAUUCAUCGGUAUGAGAUGGGCAUGCGUCUGAUUAGCUAGUUGGCGGUGUAACGGACCACCAAGGCGACGAUCAGUAGGGGUUCUGAGAGGAAGGUCCCCCACACUGGCACUGAGAUACGGGCCAGACUCCUACGGGAGGCAGCAGUAGGGAAUAUUGGGCAAUGGUCGGAAGACUGACCCAGCCAUGCCGCGUGCAGGAAGACGGCGUUCUGCGUUGUAAACUGCUUUUAUCUGGGAAGAAAAGGCCCAUGCGUGGGACAUUGCCGGUACCAGAUGAAUAAGCACCGGCUAACUCCGUGCCAGCAGCCGCGGUAAUACGGAGGGUGCAAGCGUUGUCCGGAUUUAUUGGGUUUAAAGGGUGCGUAGGCGGCUAUUUAAGUCAGCGGUGAAAGACUCCGGCUUAACCGGAGCAGUGCCAUUGAUACUGGAUAGCUUGAGUGUUGGAGGGGUACAUGGAAUUGAUGGUGUAGCGGUGAAAUGCAUAGAUACCAUCAGGAACACCGAUAGCGAAGGCAUUGUACUGGCCAACAACUGACGCUGAGGCACGAAAGUGUGGGGAUCGAACAGGAUUAGAUACCCUGGUAGUCCACACUGUAAACGAUGAUUACUCGCUGUUAUGCUGUAUAGUGUAGCGGCCAAGCGAAAGCGUUAAGUAAUCCACCUGGGGAGUACGCCGGCAACGGU